GACCCCAUCGUCUAGCCUGGUCAGGACAUCAGAUUUUCAUUCUGACGACCGGGGUUCAAAUCCCCGUGGGGUCGCCA
rnacentral:tRNA from 1 species